GUCUGGGAAACUGCCUGAUGGAGGGGGAUAACUACUGGAAACGGUAGCUAAUACCGCAUAACGUCGCAAGACCAAAGAGGGGGACCUUCGGGCCUCUUGCCAUCGGAUGUGCCCAGAUGGGAUUAGCUAGUAGGUGGGGUAAAGGCUCACCUAGGCGACGAUCCCUAGCUGGUCUGAGAGGAUGACCAGCCACACUGGAACUGAGACACGGUCCAGACUCCUACGGGAGGCAGCAGUGGGGAAUAUUGCACAAUGGGCGCAAGCCUGAUGCAGCCAUGCCGCGUGUAUGAAGAAGGCCUUCGGGUUGUAAAGUACUUUCAGCGGGGAGGAAGGGAGUAAAGUUAAUACCUUUGCUCAUUGACGUUACCCGCAGAAGAAGCACCGGCUAACUCCGUGCCAGCAGCCGCGGUAAUACGGAGGGUGCAAGCGUUAAUCGGAAUUACUGGGCGUAAAGCGCACGCAGGCGGUUUGUUAAGUCAGAUGUGAAAUCCCCGGGCUCAACCUGGGAACUGCAUCUGAUACUGGCAAGCUUGAGUCUCGUAGAGGGGGGUAGAAUUCCAGGUGUAGCGGUGAAAUGCGUAGAGAUCUGGA
rnacentral:rRNA from 1 species